AAAACAUCCUCGGGACUCCCGCCUUUACAACGAAUUCCCUUGGGAGCCUUUCAAGAAGCAGAGCUGCCUCCCUUCAGAUUAAAAUGUCUUCUGUUGCUUAUACUGCUGUUUCUGGACAAAGACUUUUACUUCAAUGAGUAAAACUGGUACAAUUCAGAAUGAAGCAGAUGAGCCUAAAAACGUCCAGCUUGUCUACAUUUUAAAUUGAUCUAAGA